ACCUGAUGGUGUGGACAUUUACGGAGCAGGUCCCUAAAACGCUCUCAAGUCUCAAAGAAGAGUUCCCUAUCCGUCCGUGUGAAACUCGUGAUUACCCUUCAUAGCU